rnacentral:rRNA from 1 species
AUGAAGGUGAGUGGAUCGAAGGUGGAGCAAUACUUGCAAUCCGCGGUGAUGGACAUCUAUGCAAAUAAUCGGACUAGGAUUAGAUGUCCGUGUACAAGAUGCAAAGAAGGAGUCCUUUUGGACCCUUUUGUUCGUGGUAGUUUGAAGGCGCACCUCCUGAUGAAUGGUUUCAUGGAUGGCUAUACUCGGUGGAUAAGUGAAGAUGAUGAUGAGGACGUCCACAUGGCAGGGAAUAACGACAUGGGCUUAGACGAAGAGAUGGCCGAUCGACACGAAGAUGAUGGCGCCAGACAUGGCGGCGGAGAAGAGUCCGGACAUGGCGGUGGCGAAGAAGAUUCCGGACACGGCGAAGAAGAGUUCGGACAUUGCAUAGAAGAGGCAGCAGUCACGCCGCAGUCUUCGAUGCUACUAAGUGCAGUCAUGCAGGACACUCAUGUUCGAGACCUCCUUCUCAAGAGUACGACUAGAGAGAGAGCUACUUCUGGAGAAGAGGCCAAGCUGGCGCAACUUGAAGUAGACUCGAAGACUCCAUUGUAUGACGGUUGUGAUCCCGAAGUGACCCACUUGAGUUUCACACUCGAACUUCUAAAGACGAAGGCCAAAAACAAAUGGACAGACAAAAGCCUCGAUGAGCAUUUGAAGUAUCUACAUAAUGAAGGAAAUAUGCCCUAG